rnacentral:misc_RNA from 1 species
GGAAGGAUCAUUGAAGAAAAGAAUACUGUAUCGUGGGAGGAGGAAGAAGCAUUGAAGAAGGGAGGAGAAUAAUUGGAUGAUUGGUUUGUGAUUAUGAUGGCUCUUGAAAACAGGGAGGAAAGGAGAGGGUUAUAGAUAAUGAACUUUUUCUCUCUCCCUUGGAGCUUUCAUGAUAAGAUUAUUAUGAAUCGACUCGACUCUUUUUAUGUAACUUUCUUUCUUUCACAUACAACUAACCCCACUUGUGUGAACAAAUAGUUUCAUUUUAUAGAGGGUGAGGAAGAGGAGAGAGGUUAUAGUUGUUAGCUUCCUCUUUUUCCCAUUCUGUAUAAUGAUGAUCAACAAAACCCUUUAUUUUGUUUCCUUUUAUAGUGACAUGAAGGAGAGGAGAAAGGGAGGUUGCUGUUUGUGUCUUUCCUGGAUCGCUCUGGUGUGUUGCUAUAAAUAAUCUCAUCUAUAAUAUAAAUAGAAACAACUUUUAACAAUGGAUCUCUUGGCUCUCGGAUCGAUGAAGAACGCAGCGAACUGCGAUACGUGAUGUGAAUUGCAGAAUUUCAUUGUGAAUCAUUUAAUCUUCGAACGCAUAUGGCACCUUUGACUCAUUUUUCUCAUUUGAGGGAAAUGAAGCAAAAGGUAUAGCUGUUUGAGUAGGACUUAUAAAGAGAAAGAAAAUUUUUUUUUUUUUUCUAAUUACUAUCGAGAAAGGGAAAAGAGUUCUUUUCAGUAUCCUUUUUUGGAAUUGAAUGCUUCAUAGGUAGUAGAAACAGAGGAAAACAAAGGGAGAGGUUAGCAAAGUUGCUAUUUCUAGUUACGAGUGCGUACAUAGAAUGUAACCUAGUCGCCUCGACCUUUUUUGUUCUAUUCUAUCUUCCUUUUCACUCGAAAAAGAGAGUGGCAUUUUGAUAGUAGAAUUUGUGUGUUUUACUUUGUAUCCUCUUUCGGUUCUUUCAAUCGUGUGUGUAGCUAAAAAUAGAAUUUUUUUUGUUCACAUGGAAAGUUACUUGAAAAGGAAGGAAAGUGAGAAUAAAAAUGCACAAGGAACCUGUGGUAUAAAGGAGAAGAGGAGGAGAGAACAUUUCCUUCUUUAUCACUUUUACCCAUCGCUUCUUACACCUUUUCUCCUCUCAAAUCAGCUAAGAAGACCCGCUAAACUUAAGCAUAUCAGUAAGCGGAGGAAAAGAAACUAACAAGGAUUCCCAUAGUAACGGCGAGUGAAGUGGGAAUAGCUCAAAUUUUGAAUCGAAAAAUAGAGACUUGAAAUUUAUUUCUCGUUUCGGAAUUCUUUUUUCGAGUUGUAAUCUAGAGAAACGUGUUUGUAUAACAAAAAAAUUAAACCUAAAUUAAAUCUAAAUCCUUUGGAAUGAGGUAUCAUAGAGGGUGAGAAUCCCGUGAGAUUUGAUUUGACAACUUUUUUUUUAAUCAAACUUUUUUUUCAUCAAAUACGUUUCAAAGAGUCGAGUUGUUUGGGAAUGCAGCUCAAAAAGGGUGGUAAAUUUCAUCUAAAGCUAAAUAUAACCGAGAGACCGAUAGCGAACAAGUACCGUGAGGGAAAGAUGAAAAGAACUUUGAAAAGAGAGUUAAAAGUACGUGAAAUUGUUAAAAGGGAAGCGAUUAAAACUUAGUGCAGUAAUUUGAAAAGAGAAAUUUAAAAGGUUCUCUUUUUGAAUGAGUCAACACCAUUUAAUUUUGAUGAAAAAAAUGAUUAAGGAAGCUAAUAAGUUGGAAGAUUUUUUUUAAUCUCUCUAAUUUAAAGUUAUAGACUUUAACAUAAAUUCAUUAAAAGAGAAUGGGUGUUUUUUUUUCAGAUUUAAAAAGAAAAUAUGAAAAAAGAGCGUAAAAGGAUGAUGACGUUUGAAAGAAAAAAUUUUUUCAAAUUUGUCAAUUUUAUGGAAUCCUUUUUUUAUACACUUUUUAAAUCUAAUUUGUUGACAAAAUGGUUUUAACCGACCCGUCUUGAAACACGGACCAAGGAGUCUAACAUAUAUGCGAGUAUUUGAGUGAUAAAAACUUGAAUGCGUAAUGAAAGUGAGAAAAGAUAAACUUAUUAUUUAAUGGGAAUCCUUAUUUUAAAGAGAUAAUAAAUCUUAUUUUAAUGGAGGCACCAUUGACCGGUAGGGAUACUUUCGUAAGAAAGUUGAACGAAUCGAGUUAGAGCAUAUCUGUUGGGACCCGAAAGAUGGUGAACUAUGCCUGAAUAGGGUGAAGCCAGAGGAAACUCUGGUGGAGGCUCGUAGCGAUACUGACGUGCAAAUCGUUCGUCAAAUUUGGGUAUAGGGGCGAAAGACUCAUCGAACCAUCUAGUAGCUGGUUCCCUC